CUUGGGUGUUUUUCCACAAUUUGUGCGCCACCUGCAAGCUUCUCUGCUUUGAGUUCACCUCCACACCCCAUUUUUGGAAAAAACCUUGAUGCUUCCAUGUCAUUAGACAUCGUCUGCUUCAGAAAAGAUAGCCUUCUAAGUUCAACCUCCAUAUAAACAUAGUCAGAAGGAUCGCCUUUGAAGAGCAAGAAGAAGUAGGUUCUAUGAACCAAUGGGAAGCCGCUGUGGAAUCUGUUUCCUUAGGUUUUUCUUCUUCAACCUGCAUUUGGUGAUCAUUCAAACUGUUGAGAAACGACACAAAAUUUUGUCUCCCCUAGAAAAGAUUUUUUUGACUUACCAAAUCAUCAGCCUGCUCUCUCUCUGAUUGAUUGGUGGCAUCUGUGGUUACUUCAUUUAUAUCCUGAGGAUUUGGCAAUGCAUUCUUGU